AUUAAAUGGAACAAAUUUGAAUAGUCUACACCGAGCGAAAUUUCCUACGUGCUAUGCGUAUAUCAUUCGUGCCCCCUGUUAAAAAGUGUGGUAAGGUAGUUAUACAACCGGCUCGAAUAUAAUACGUGCGAGACGUAUUUCUCUUCCACAAAGAUUUAAAAAUAUGAAU